rnacentral:rRNA from 1 species
UACAGAGGUCUCAAGCGUUGUUCGGAUUCAUUGGGCGUAAAUGGUGCGUAGGCGGCGCGGUAAGUCGGGUGUGAAAUCUCGGAGCUUAACUCCGAAACUGCAUUCGAUACUGCGGUGCUUGAGGACUGGAGAGGAGACUGGAAUUCACGGUGUAGCAGUGAAAUGCGUAGAUAUCGUGAGGAAGACCAGUGGCGAAGGCGGGUCUCUGGACAGUUCCUGACACUGAGGCACGAAGGCCAGGGGAGCAAACGGG